AGUGAACGCUGGCGGUAGGCCUAACACAUGCAAGUCGAACGGCAGCACAGUAAGAGCUUGCUCUUACGGGUGGCGAGUGGCGGACGGGUGAGGAAUACAUCGGAAUCUACUUUUUCGUGGGGGGUAACGUAGGGAAACUUACGCUAAUACCGCAUACGACCUACGGGUGAAAGCAGGGGAUCUUCGGACCUUGCGCGAUUGAAUGAGCCGAUGUCGGAUUAGCUAGUUGGCGGGGUAAAGGCCCACCAAGGCGACGAUCCGUAGCUGGUCUGAGAGGAUGAUCAGCCACACUGGAACUGAGACACGGUCCAGACUCCUACGGGAGGCAGCAGUGGGGAAUAUUGGACAAUGGGCGCAAGCCUGAUCCAGCCAUACCGCGUGGGUGAAGAAGGCCUUCGGGUUGUAAAGCGCUUUUGUUGGGAAAGAAAAGCAGCAGGUUAAUACCCCGCUGUUCUGACGGUACCCAAAGAAUAAGCACCGGCUAACUUCGUG
rnacentral:rRNA from 1 species